AACGUAGGUUCCGAGCGUUAUCCGGAUUUACUGGGCGUAAAGCGUGCGCAGGCGGUCUUGUAAGUCAGAUGUGAAAUCCCCGGGCUUAACCUGGGAACUGCGUUUGAAACUACAAGGCUAGAGUGUGGCAGAGGGGGGUGGAAUUCCACGUGUAGCAGUGAAAUGCGUAGAUAUGCGGAGGAACACCGAUGGCGAAGGCAAUCCCCUGGGCCUGCACUGACGCUCAUGCACGAAAGCGUGGGGAGCAAACAGG
rnacentral:rRNA from 1 species